rnacentral:piRNA from 1 species
UGGACAAUGUCACGUGUAGGUAGUACUGU